rnacentral:rRNA from 1 species
AUUGAACGCUGGCGGCAGGCCUAACACAUGCAAGUCGAACGAGUGGCGGACGGGUGAGUAAUGGCUGGGAAACUGCCUGGUGGAGGGGGAUAACUACUGGAAACGGUAGCUAAUACCGCAUACAAUCAGAUGUGACCAGAUGGGAUUAGCUGGUUGGUGGGGUACCGGCGCACCAGUGCGACGAUACCUAGCUGGUCUGAGAGGAUGACCAGCAACACUGGAAUGGAGAAACGGGCCAGAUUCCUACGGGCGGAAGCAGUUGGGAAUCUUGCACAAUGGGCGACAGCCUGAUGCAGCCAUGCCGCGUGGAUGACGAAAGCCUUCGGGUGGUAAAGUACUUUAAGCGGGGAGGCGUUACCCGCAGAAGAAGCACCGGCUAACUCCGUGCCAGCAGCCGCGGUAAUAC